rnacentral:rRNA from 1 species
UACGGGGGGUGCGAGCGUUGUCCGGAAUCACUGGGCGUAAAGGGCGCGUAGGUGGUUUGAUAAGGGUGUGGUGAAAGUCCGGAGCUCAACUCCGGAUCGUGCCGUGCCGACUGUCAAACUCGAGGGCUGUAGAGGCAGACGGAAUUCCGAGUGUAGCGGUGGAAUGCGUAGGAGAUCCGGAGGAAGACCGGUGGCGAAGGCGGUCUGCUGGGCGAGUUUCUGACACUGAGGAGCGAAAGCGUGGGGAG